rnacentral:rRNA from 1 species
UACGGAGGGGGCAAGCGUUGUUCGGAAUUACUGGGCGUAAAGGGCUCGUAGGCGGCCAUCUAAGUCAGACGUGAAAUCCCCAGGCUCAACCUGGGAACUGCGUCUGAUACUGGAUGGCUUGAAUCCGGGAGAGGGAUGCAGAAUUCCAGGUGUAGCGGUGAAAUGCGUAGAUAUCUGGAGGAAUACCGGUGGCGAAGGCGGCAUCCUGGACCGGCAUUGACGCUGAGGAGCGAAAGCCAGGGGAGCAAACGGG